AUGCUCGCGGGGGCAGCGGUGCGGGGCAGCCCGGCGGCGACCUUCGCCGAGGACGUGCUGCGCGUUUUCGGGAGCAACCGGAGCCUGUCGGCCGGGCAGCUCUCGGCGUUACUGAGCCGGCUGGGAGCCGCGCCCGCGUUGAGCGCCGUGCUGCCGCUGCCCCACCUGCACCACAACCAGUGCCUGACUGGAGAGGAAAUUUUUUCUUUGCAUGGAAUACCAAACAACAGUCACAUAUCAAAUUCAGACUUCUCUACAGUAUGUCCUGCUGUUUUGCAACAGUUAAUUUUUCACCCGUGUGAUCAUCAGGAAAAUUCUGUGGAUGCAUCUAGACCACAUUCUUUACAAGUUUGGGGAUUUGGGUUCCUAGCUGUGACUAUCAUUAACUUGGCAUCACUUCUGGGAUUUAUUUUAACUCCUCUCUUAAAGAAGUCUUAUUUCCCUAAGAUUUUAACCUACUUUGUGGGCUUGGCCGUCGGUACUCUCUUUUCUAAUGCAAUCUUCCAGCUCAUUCCAGAGGCAUUUGGAUUUGAUUCCCAUGUAGAUAACUACAUUGAGAAAGCAGUUGCUGUAUUUGGAGGAUUCUAUAUUCUCUUCUUUGUGGAAAGGAUUCUUAAAGUGAUACUAAAAAUCUAUAAUCAGCCUGGCCAUAACGACUUAGAAAAUGGUGAACAGAAUCAAUCUAAGGAUAAGACUAGUCCCUCCAAACCACCAUCAUCCAGCAAUGGAGUGACUUGUUACGCAAAUUCAGCCAUCGUAGAGAGCAAUGGAAAUUUUGGUUUUGACAGCAUUAGUGUUGUCUCAGCACAGGAAGAAGCAAUCCAGGGCAGUUUGUGUAAAUGUCUUGGUGGGCGCCCGCUGUCAAAGAUUGGAACCAUUGCUUGGAUGGUAACACUGAGUGAUGCUGUACAUAAUUUCUUAGAUGGUUUGGCAAUCGGUGCUUCUUUCACUUUGUCUCUGUUUCAAGGACUUAGUACCUCCAUAGCCAUCUUGUGUGAAGAGUUUCCUCAUGAACUGGGGGAUUUUGUCAUCUUGCUUAAUGCCGGAAUGAGCAUUCGACAGGCUCUGUUUUUCAACUUUCUGUCUGCGUGUUCCUGUUACAUUGGGAUGGCUCUUGGGAUAUUAGUAGGCAACAACUUCGCUCCUACCAUCAUUUUUGCUGUAGCUGGUGGAAUGUUCCUGUACAUCUCUCUGGCAGAUAUGCUGCCUUCUUACUGGGACAAAGAAGCUGUUGCCUCUCACGUGGUAGUAUGGAGUGGACCCAGAUCCUGCCUGGAGGACCAAGAAGACUGACCCCAGCACUGUCCCUUCAUCUCCUUUGCUAUGGAAGCAAACAACAAGCAUCAGAAGUAAACCAACACGUUUCAUGGAAUGGUCCAGUCCUCCCAGGCACUGUACACACUGAAUGUUCUCAUUACCUUGAGGGAGGACACUGAUACUAUAAACGUCAAACAUGGUUUCUCAGAGGACUUCUGAACUUCACCAUAAACACACAGGUUUUCUGGUCUACGCAGUAUUCCUACCAAGUUCUAAACUUAUCUGAAAUAAAGCAAGGAAGCUGAAGAAGAAAAUAACAACUCUUGGAGCUGCUCUGCCCAGACUGUUCUUGUGGAGACCAACAAACCAAAGAAAUCCAGAGCCUGUGAAAAUCAAGCACGUGUCCCUGGGAGCAGAGGAGUAAUAGAGCAUCCACAAAAAUAGUCCAGCUCCCUGUGAAAUUUCUGUGGAAAAAGCCCUUUGCCUUCCUCAGCAGACCCCCUUCUGUACCAGUCUUGACAAGGAGCUGGAUGAAUUGCAUGUUUGCCCCGUAGGUGUCACCGGAGGACUAAGCAUCUGAUGUGUUGUGCUUCCUGAGACUUACCUUCAUUUAAAACUAUUAUGGAUGCUCAGCAAGUGUAUCAGAACCUCUCUGUGACCUGGACCUCUGGGCAAGACUAUGCACUGCUGGUAAACAAGAAGCAUUUUUUCCCAUUUCCCUUUGGCUUCGUUUCUCUAAAUGAAAUUGCAGAUAAACUUGUGCCUUUCCAGUUUGUUAACACGUACCAAUCACUACUGAUGAGUAUUUGCAAUUCUGGAAAAGGAAGAUAGCAUAAGCAACCUAAGUCUCUAUUUUUGAGAAAAACAAAUUCUAGUAUGAUCAUGUGAAGUUCUCUACUCCCAUAGAAAGGAAUGGUUUUCAUCUACUCUACGCCUCUAUACUGCGAGGUGGAAUAUCUUAUAUAAAUAAGUUGCAGAGAAUCUAUUUUCCUAAUUAAGAGAGCUGUUAAAUAAUUUCACCACCUUUUCCAGUGACUUUCUGACCUGGAAUGGAAACCUUAUUGAUCUCUUCAAAAAUGGUAUCCACAGAAAACUAGGACCAUGGGAAAAGCCCAGCAGGUCUUCCCUCAAAGUUUACUUUCAUGAGUGCUCACAUUCUGUGUCCUAUGUUGGUUUUUCUGAUCUCAGGAGCACAACUACAUUUUCGUAAAUGAUCCCAUCAGUUUUGUUUCGUUACUGAAUCAUUUGUUGGUUUUGACUGUAAGGGGUUUAUUUGAAAACUCAGUUUACUUUUUUAUCUAAUGUUAAAGCAUAGUCAUAAUAUAUUUCUCACCCCUACGUUGCUUCCAAGUGUCUUCCACACAGCCAACUCUGCAUUUUAAUGUUAGCUGUUUUUGGAUGGGUGACACAUCACAUUUCGUUUAGACAGGACUAAAAUCUGCAGAAGGAGGAUUGGGUUCCAACUAAGUCCUAGUAGAAUUAUAAUUUUAAGGCUAACUUUACGGAGCAUUUCACAGUAGUUUCUGAUGGACAAGUACUGUUGAUAAAGACGACAAAUUUAUCUUCUAGAAAGAGCACAACACCAAGAUCAGCAUGGAGAGCCCUUCCCAGAGACAGGGCUGUCCUUCUGGCCUAUGUGCAUAACAUGGCCAAUUCUGUGCCAGCUGCUGCAAAAUUCAGCAGCAACAAUAAAAACAUUGCUUUCCUCUGCUAUCAGGUAUUAGGUGACAUACUUGAGAGGUUAUUUAUUUCCAUAGGAGGCAUCACCUGUGCUCUGAAGGCUAUUAAAUAGAGGGCUUCAAUGCAUUUCCAGAUGACGCAGAUGCAGAUCUCUCAGUCAGAAACUGCAGAGGUGGGAAUUGUGUGCAUCUUUUAGCAAACCACAAUCAUGGCUACUGCAUUCUCUGACUGGAAGUGAAAGAGGAGUAAAAAGGAUGGAAAUUGGCUAACUCCUCUCAGAACCUCAAGAGAGAAGAAAUUGCUUUCUUCAGUUGGGUAUUUCUUCCAUUUCUCUGUCAUGGACUUAACAGACUUGUUUUCAGAGCCGUAUUCUUGCUUUUAGGAUGGAAAAGCUGGAAAGAAACACAGCAGCUGGACAUUUCCCCAGGCCUGGGUGAUGUUCUCAUAGCACACCUCAGACCCCCAGCCCCACCUGCGUAGUCCCCAGCAGCAAGUGAAGUAGAAAGUACCAUAACCACAUUGCCAUUUGGCAGCCAUCUUCACAGCUAUUCUUCCUGCUGUCUCACUCUCAGCAUAGUCCAGCCAAGACAAUGCCCUCUAUCACUGGAUCUGUCACAGCUUUCCGGAAUGCAAAGAGAGAGAAGAGAACCAGAUAUGCUCUAGCAGAUCUUUUUCAUUUGCACCCUCAGUACUUUCUGAAACAUAGGCAGACAGUUGGGAAAACACUUUCAUUCAUUUCUAUCUAUACCCCUGAGCUACAACCUAGUGACCAACCACUCUGAUUAUCAAAAUUUUCUGACUCUCAAGUUUGCAUAUUAUCUACACAUUCUACAAUGUUAAAUAUUCAUCAAAGCACUGGGAGUGUUUUAAGUAUUUAUUGCUUCUUUUUCUCAGGGCUCUGUAUGAGCACCUGGAGAAAAGACUGAAGAAGCCAACUUCAUAAAUGAUUGCAUGCAUCAGGACAGAACCAACGCUGCUGUUCAUUAUCUUCAUUAAUGUUACACACUUGCACUACUCUAUUGCCUUGCUUGAUAACUCAAGCUUGCAAAAAAAUCCUGAUGAUGGGACAAUGCAGAUUUCUCUAAAGCAUAAGCUUGGUGAAACUAAUUCAAUACAGUCACAAAGAUAAAAAAGAAAAAAAUCCACUUGGGAAUAAUCUGGUUUCAAAGCACUAGUUCUGCUGGGCAGGUGGGAAGAGAGGGGGUGGAGAGCAAUUCUGCUGCACAUGUUCUGCCAUGAAAUGCUGAAACAGAACGUGGUUUUACAGCAGCGUGGGCUGAGAAGGCUGGGGCUGGAUCCAGCCCUUGAAACACUUGAACUCGACCUUCUGACCUCAGCAAGAUUUGUCUUAGAGAAAGAACAGCACACAUUAUCCUGACAGCCAAGAAGGUUGCUUUCUCCUGCUAGCUCUCCAACUGCUGGAACAAGCUGCUCAGCAGCGAUGAACCCAGCCUUCUCAAGGAGUGAGGCUGAGCCAUCCCUGAUGCACUUGGGGUUGCUGUGCACAGGGAGGCCCUGGGCUCCCUUCUCCAUUUCACCAGGGAUGCAGGAGCAGGCAGGCCCUGGUGUGUAAGAGCAGCACAGUGCAGAGGCACAUCUCAGGCUGUGCUCAGGACAACACAGAAAAUGCAGCAGUGUUGAGACCUCUUAAAGAUGACCCUUAUCCUCAGCAGUACAAUUUUCUUUUGAAGGCAUUUUCCUGUUGCUUAAGACUGCAGAACCAUCUUUCCCUGAGCACAGAUUUCUCUUUUUAAGACAUGCAUGUGUAUAAUUUAUUUACGCCUAUGGAUUUCAGUUUCACUGGCCAGUUUCCUGCUUUACUCAGCUCACAUCAAGAGUACCACAAUCUUACAGACCACCAUAUUUAACUGCUUACAAAACUCUUCUUAAAAAAUGAAAAAAACCCCAACCCUAUACUAAAUUAGGUAGGUAAGAAAUUAUGACAACAGAAUGACAGUAAAAAUAAUAUUGUGAUAUUUACAGCAAUUAAUAAAAUUCCUUCUGCAUACACUUUGCCAGAAGUUCCAACAGCUGCCUUAUCUUCUCCAAUAGUAGAAGAUAAUGAAGUGUUAGAACCUCAUGCCAAUGUGCUCGAGGCAUAUUAAGGCACAUAACUAUCAAAGAUGCACAAUUAUACGGAAUAAAAGAAAUGAGAUAUGAAACACUCCACUGCCAAAAUGUAAUGAUUUUGGGAUCAAUUUGAAGUACAUGUAUGACUCAGACGAUCUGCAGCCUAUUAGGAAAACAAACAAAACUGAAACAUCAAUGGAUACCCAACUUUUGGUUCAGCUGUUUUAACACGAGCAAAAGAACUGCAUCAUUUGAAGUAAUCUAUCAUAAUCUUGUGUAAUAGUCUUUUGGACUCUUGUACUAAACAAUUUCAUUUGCAUGUCUGCCUUUAAGUUUAUCACAAGCAGAUUUACCGCACCAUGUAUCAGCCAGCUAACAUUCCUGAGUUGAUCCUUAUUUGCAUCUUUAUUUCAUCUAACUUCACACUUUACCCGUAUGCCUGUCUAUCAAUCUUUCUGAAACUUCUGAAACUGAAUUUCUGGAGAGGAAAAAAAAAAAAAAAAAAAAAAAAAAAAAGCAGCUCUGCCUUUGAACCAUUUCAUCACCAUGGAGGAACAGCCAAUAGACAACACCACCAGGCUAAGUAAAAGUGCAGUGUGUGUGUCAGUAACUGCAUAUCUUUCUGUGUUUCAAAUGUCCAUUUAUUUUUACAGAGCCUUCAAAAGAGCACAGAUUUGAGAGAAAAACAUUA